GGACUACCCGGGUAUCUAAUCCCGUUCGCUACCCUAGCUUUCGCGUCUCAGCGUCAGAAAACGUCCAGGACCUCGCUUUCGCCACGGGCGUUCCUUCCGAUCUCAACGCAUUUCACCGCUCCACCGGAAGUUCCAGGUCCCCCUACGUCCCUCAAGACGAGGCGUUUCGGCGCCAGUUCCCCGGUUGAGCCGGGGGCUUUCAGCAACCGACGUCCCCAUCCGCCUACACGCGCUUUAAGCCCAGUGAUUCCGAAUAACGUUAGCACGGUUCGUAUUACCGCGGCUGCUGGCAC
rnacentral:rRNA from 1 species